GAGCCAGCCAAAUAAUCUGCUUAUCUCAAAUGUGCUUCUGCAGAAAUUUAGGAAAGGCUGGCAAUAGUGAUGCCAUGUUACGAGCCUUAAGGACAGCUGAAGUCUUUAAGGUCCCUGAAAAUGGCUACAGUA
ensembl:snoRNA Snora33 small nucleolar RNA SNORA33